CUUGGUCAUUUAGAGGAAGUAAAAGUCGUAACAAGGUCUCCGUUGGUGAACCAGCGGAGGGAUCAUUACAGAGUCGUAAAAAACUCCCAAACCCAUGUGAAUUUACCUUUGUUGCCUCGGCAGGACCUACCCGGUACCUACCCUGUAGCCUGCCGGCGGACUAUUAAACUCUUGUUAUUUUAAAUAAAUCUGAGCGUCUUAUUAAAUAAGUCAAAACUUUUAACAACGGAUCUCUUGGUUCUGGCAUCGAUGAAGAACGCAGCGAAAUGCGAUAAGUAAUGUGAAUUGCAGAAUUCAGUGAAUCAUCGAAUCUUUGAACGCACAUUGCGCCCAUUAGUAUUCUAUUGGGCAUGCCUGUUCGAGCGUCAUUUCAACCCUUAAGCUCAGCUUAGUAUUGGGAAUCUACUGUGAGUGGUGCUACCCUGUAGCUACCCUGUAGUUCCUCAAAUCGAACGGCGGAGUUACAGUUAUCUCUGAGCGCAGUAAUUUUUAUAACGCUUUGGAAGAUGCUGUAAUCCCAGCCGCUAAACCCCCAAUUUNUUUAAUGGUUGACCUCGGAUCAGGUAGGAAUACCCGCUGAACUUAAGCAUAUCAAUAAGCGGAGGAAAAGAAACCAACAGGGAUUGCCCUAGUAACGGCGAGUGAAGCGGCAACAGCUCAAAUUUGAAAUCUGGCCUUUGGUCCGAGUUGUAAUUUGUAGAGGAUGAUUUUGGUGCGGUACUUUCCGAGUUCCCUGGAACGGGACGCCUUAGAGGGUGAGAGCCCCGUACGGUUGGAUGCCUAGCCUCUGUAAAUCUCCUUCGACGAGUCGAGUAGUUUGGGAAUGCUGCUCUAAAUGGGAGGUAAAUUUCUUCUAAAGCUAAAUACUAGCCAGAGACCGAUAGCGCACAAGUAGAGUGAUCGAAAGAUGAAAAGCACUUUGAAAAGAGGGUUAAACAGCACGUGAAAUUGUUAAAAGGGAAGCGCUUAUGACCAGACUUUUUCUAGGCGGAUCAUCCGGUGUUCUCACCGGUGCACUUCACUUAGUUUAGGCCAGCAUCGGUUUCUAUAGGGAGAUAAAAGCUUUAGGAAUGUGGCUCUUUCGGGAGUGUUAUAGCCUAUUGUAUAAUAUCCUUACGGGGACCGAGGUACGCGCUCUGCAAGGAUGCUGGCAUAAUGGUCAUUAGCGACCCGUCUUGAAACACGGACC
rnacentral:rRNA from 1 species